GGCUCGAUUCAGACACAAUGCCAAAUUUUAAUAUCUUUUGUAUUUGUAUUGUAAAAUUCUAAAUUGUGAACAAUACAAAUACAAAAGAUAGUAUUAAAAUUUGGCAUUGUGUCUGAAUUGAGCC